rnacentral:rRNA from 1 species
UUUGAUCCUGGCUCAGAUUGAACGCUGGCGGCAGGCCUAACACAUGCAAGUCGAACGGUAACAGGAAGUGCUUGCACUUCGCUGACGAGUGGCGGACGGGUGAGUAAUGCUUGGGAACUUGCCUUUGCGAGGGGGAUAACAGUUGGAAACGACUGCUAAUACCGCAUAAUGUCUACGGACCAAACGGGGCUUAGGCUCCGGCGCAGAGAGAGGCCCAAGUGAGAUUAGCUAGUUGGUGGGGUAAAGGCUCACCAAGGCGACGAUCUCUAGCUGUUCUGAGAGGAAGAUCAGCCACACUGGAACUGAGACACGGUCCAGACUCCUACGGGAGGCAGCAGUGGGGAAUAUUGCACAAUGGGGGAAACCCUGAUGCAGCCAUGCCGCGUGUGUGAAGAAGGCCUUCGGGUUGUAAAGCACUUUCAGUUGUGAGGAAAGGUUGGUAGUUAAUACC